AGAAAACCUGUUUUGUUAGAGUUAUUACUUAGAAUUUUUAAAGAUGCUAGCUUAUUUUGUUUUUCAAAAUUUUAUGCUAUUUUGUUUCAAUGUGCUUGUUCAAUAGCGUUAUUUAUAGCUUUAGCAAUUAGUGAGUUAAUUACUGGGAGCAAAUAUUUUCCUUCAGAUGCAAAGUGAUGAUAUUGUAGUUUCUGAUGAUAAGAUCUUGGUUUUUCUGUCUAGGACCAAAACUGACCAGGAGGGUAAAGG